rnacentral:hammerhead_ribozyme from 1 species
AUCCAGCCGACGAGUCCCAAAUAGGACGAAAUGAGCCUUAUCGUGAAU